rnacentral:RNase_P_RNA from 1 species
CGAGCAUGCCAGGCGGCCGCGUGGGUGCAAGCCCCCGAGGAACGUCCGGGCUCCGCAGGGAACGGUGGUGGCUAACGGCCACUCGGGGUGACCCGCAGGAAAGUGCAACAGAAAUGAAACCGCCGCAAGGUAAGGGUGAAAUGGUGAGGUAAGAGCUCACCGCGUGCGUGGUGACAUGCGCGGCAGUGUAAACCCCACCGGGAGCAAGGCCAAAUAGUGUGCGUUGAGGCGUCCCGCUGAGCACACGGGUGGGCUGCUUGAGGCGCGUGGCAACAUGCGUCCUAGAUGGAUGGUCGCCGCCAGCUUCGGCUGGUACAGAACCCGGCGUAUCGGCAUGCUCACGUA